CCAGCCUGUUUUUUGUACUCCUGUUUGCUUGAGCGCCUUUUUUCUAGUUAUCCCUUUUUUUGCUCAUUCUGCCUGCCCUGACCCUUGCUGCCAUUCUGUACCUUUUGACACUGCCCUGGAUUACUGACCUGAGCCUGCCUGUCACUCUGUACUUUACGGACUCUGCCCUGGAUUACCGAUCUCUGCCUGCCCUUGAUCUGUCGCUUGCCUGCCCCAUCUAAACGGGUGGCAUGUUGGACACACACGCACACAGGCUGACGGAGCUGUAAGUGAGUCAGGACUUGGAGUUAGACGAAUGUAACGACUCAUCUUAUGUCUGAAGCAAACAUGCUUGAGGUGUCGCCCAGUAUCCCCUGGGUACGUUUGCCA